CCCUGGAGGUGGGGACCUGGGGGGGGAGCAGUUAGGGCACCCACAGUGGCUGCCGUGGUGCAGCAGGCCCAGUUUGUCUGGGAUACUCCCAGUCUGUGCUUACUGGCUGGGAAUAAUCCUAAACAUCCCUCUGUGACUCCUAAAGACGUCCUCCUCUGGGUGGCUUAUGUGGCCAGCCUGGGAAGCAGCAGCUGCAAGGCCGAGAGGCUGUGCGCUCUGCCUCCGUCUUGCCCUCCCCUAAGCGCAGUCGUGGCUUUCCUCAUCUGGCCAGGAGAGGCCGUCCAGGCAGGCACAUUGCUGCGCAGCAGGACUUUACCAGAACCGUCUCCGGGGUCCCUGCCCGCCACGCCCCCGUGGCACAUGGUGAUUGGUCACCCCCAGGCUCCUGAUCCUCGUCCUGAACUGGCUGAACCAGGAUCCCUGGGGCCUGGGGCUGAUGAUCAGCCUGUUGGAGGCUUUCUCUGGCUCAUCCACACAAUCAAGUUUGGAAACUACAGGCCUCGCAGAGGGAGACAAGGAGUGUUAACAUUCUCUGAGGAGCUGAGCUGCAAGAUUACCCGUUCCCUGAGGGCAAAGUCUCUGGAAAAUAUCACUGUUCAUAAGCACGGCCUGGCUGCCGCACACGAGAACACCCCCAGGAGACGGCGUGCGGCCUGGAUUCGCCGACGGUGGCUACGACGUCAGAGCCCAGGGACCCAGCUAUGACCUGCUGGAGAUACUCAAAAGCCAUGUUAUGCUCGCAUCGCACUUCUCACCAGUCCAAGCACAACCGCAUCUAUCCUGUGUGCUCAUGCUCAGCAUCUCAAAACCCUCCGACUUAAGAACGACAGGUAGAACUUGAUUACCGACCAGAUGUGGAAGCUGAGGUCCAGAGUUCCAGGAUCUGUUCGAAGUCCUAAAGUGCAUUGGCCGAAGAGCCUGGACGCGAAACGCCGCCUCUUGGCCCUCGGGAGGGGGCUUCGCCUAGUGGACCUGGCACCCGCACAGGUGACCCACCUCUGCAGGGACACAGCCCUGGGGCUGGGCAGCCCGCCUGUGGGAUGCAGCAGAUUGGUAUGCAAGCUUGGUGGGCUUUGGCUAAUCUUGCUGAGGGAACCCUUCAAUCUGAAUAACAAUCAACAAGAUUUUAAAGAAAUUUGGGCCAAUUUCCUGGAAGUCUAUGAUUAAUCUAAUUGCUGGGUUUUCCUCUGUUUUUGUCUCCCACUGUUAAUUUCAUUUAUUUUUCUCUUUCUUCCCCGACACAGACUGCCUUGUCUCUGUGCGCGGUUUUGUCACUGUUGUUAUUUGUCCGUACAUAGUUUAUCAUUGGCAAUGCAUUCAAUGGGAUUGUUGUACUCUGUGUUUGGGGAAGGAGGAUUUUUCAACAGAGACAACAUCGGGCAGCAGGAAGAAAAGCACUGGGCUGAGUUUCAGAGCCCCCUUUUCAAAGCCUAGCUCUGCGGAUACCUGCCAUCCCUCCCCGGCUCCUCACACAGCCCUUGGUUGAAGAGACCCUCUGCUUCUCCUGGCCCCCCUCGCCCUUACGGGAUACCUGGGUUGCAUGAGAGACCUUAAGGGCCGCUGUGCUGCCAGCUGUUGGCAAUAAAGAAAGUAGUAAAAAAAAAAAAAAAAAAGAA
rnacentral:lncRNA from 12 species